rnacentral:rRNA from 1 species
UUGAACGCUUGGCGGCACGCCUAACACAUGCAAGUCGAGCGGCCAGCGCGAUCAGUAGCAAUACUGAUUGGCGGCGAGCGGCGGACGGGUGAGGAACACGUAGGAAUCUACCCUCAAGCGGGGGGACAACCAAGGGAAAACUUUGGCUAAUUACCGCAUACGCUCGAAAGAGAAAAGUUGCUCGCAAGGGUGACACUUGAGGAGGAGCCUGCGUCCGAUUAGCUAGUUGGUGAGGUAAUAGCUCACCAAAGGCCAGUGAUCGGUAACUGGUCUGAGAGGACGACCAGUCACACUGGGACUGAGACACGGCCCCAGACUCCUACGGGAGGCAGCAGUGGGGAAUAUUGGACAAUGGGGGCAACCCCUGAUCCAGCGAUGGCCGCGUGAGUGAAGAAGGCCUUCGGGUCGUAAAGCUCUUUAGUUUGGGAAGAAGAUUACAGGAGGAAAUGCUUGUAAUUUGAACGGUAACCGAAAGAAUAAGCACCGGCAAACUCUGUGCCAGCAGCCGCGGUAAUACAGAGGGUGCAAGCGUUAAUCGGAGUUACUGGGCGUAAAGGGCCGCGUAGGGCGGUGAUAUGAGUGUGAUGUGAAAGGCCCCGGGCUUAACCUGGGAAGUGCAUCGCAAACGAUAUGACUAGAGUAUAUGAGAGGGUGGCGGAAUUUCCGGUGUAGCGGUGAAAUGCGUAGAGAUCGGAAGGAACGUCAAUGGCGAAGGCAGCCCACCUGGCAUGAUACUGACGCUGAGGGCGCGAGAGCGUGGGGAGCGAACAGGAUUAGAUACCCUGGUAGUCCACGCUGUAAACGAUGAGAACUAGAUGUUGGUUGGGGAACCAAUCGGUAUCGAAGCUAAACGCGAUAAGUUUUUUCCGCCUGGGAAGUACGGCCGCAAGGUUGAAACUCAAAUGGAUUGACGGGGGCCCGCACAAGCGGUGGAGCAUGUGGUUUAAUUCGAUGCAACGCGAAGAACCCUUACCUACCCUUGACAUCCUGCGAAUUCUGAAGAGAUUUGGAAAGUGCCGAAAGGAACGCAGAGACAGGUGCUGCAUGGCUGUCGUCAGCUCGUGUUGUGAGAUGUUGGGUUAAGUCCCGUAACGAGCGCAACCCUUGUUCUUAGUUGCCAGCAUUAAGUUGGGGACUCUAAGAAGACUGCCGGUGAUGAACCGGAGGAAGGCGGGGACGACGUCAAGUCCAUCAUGGCCUUUAUGGGUAGGGGCUACACACGUGCUACAAAUGGGGCGUACAGAGGGUAGCCAACCAGCCGAUGGGGAGCCAAUCUCAAAAAAGCGUCUCGUAGUCCGGAUUGGAGUCUGCAACUCGACUCCAUGAAGUUGGAAUCGCUAGUAAUCGCAGAUCAGCAUGCUGCGGUGAAUACGUUCCCGGGUCUUGUACACACCGCCCGUCACAUCACGAAAGUGGGUUGUACUAGAAGUCGUCGCGCCAACCCGUAAGGGAGGCAGGCGCCCACGGUAUGAUCCAUGAUUGGGGUG